rnacentral:rRNA from 1 species
UACGAAGGGGGCUAGCGUUGCUCGGAAUCACUGGGCGUAAAGCGCACGUAGGCGGAUUUUUAAGUCAGGGGUGAAAUCCUGGAGCUCAACUCCAGAACUGCCUUUGAUACUGGGAAUCUCGAGUCCGGGAGAGGUGAGUGGAACUGCGAGUGUAGAGGUGAAAUUCGUAGAUAUUCGGAAGAACACCAGUGGCGAAGGCGGCUCACUGGACCGGCAUUGACGCUGAGGUGCGAAAGCGUGGGGA